UGGUAGCAUAAUCAGUAGUCUUUUAAUUGAGGGCUGGAAUGAAUGGUUGGACAAGAAGCUGUCUGUCUUUAUUAUAAAAAUUGAAUUUAACUUUUAAGUGAAAAGGCUUAAAUAUAUUGGGGGGACGAUAAGACCCUAUAAAACUUGACAUAGAAAGUUGGUUUUUAAAUUGUUGUAUUAAAAUAAACCAGGCUUAUUUUGUUACGUUGGGGCGACGAGAAUAUAAAAUGUAACUGUUAGUAAAUUUAAAUAAUUAUUUUUAGUUGUUUAAUUGAUCCUUUUAUAGAGAUUAUAAGAAAAAGUUACUUUAGGGAUAACAGCGUGAUUUUUUCUGAGAGUUCUUAUCGACGAAAGUAGUUGCGACCUCGAUGUUGAAUUAAGAUAUUAUUAGGGUGUAGAAGUUCUAAUUAUAGGUCUGUUCGACCUUUAAAAUCUUACAUGAUUUGAGUUCAAACCGGUGUGAGCCAGGUGG
rnacentral:rRNA from 1 species